rnacentral:rRNA from 1 species
GUCUACGGCCGUGCCACUCUGAACAAGCCUGAUGUCUGAUCUCGGAAGCUAAGCAGGGUCGGGCCUGGUUAGUACUUGGAUGGGAGACCACCUAGGAAGAUCAGGUGCUGUAGGCA